AGGAACCCACAGAACAAGUAUUUAUACAUGUAGAACUAAAUAUAUGAACUCAUCGAAUAGUAAAUUGUACAUCUGGAACAAAUACAUUAUAAACAUGUAACAAUAUUUUUAAUCCGUAAAAUAGAAAAAUAAUGAAGGAAAGAUGAACUAAAAAUAAAAAAGGAAAUGAAACUAUAAUAUACCAAAUAAAAUAACAGAUAAAGAAAUAAUAUACAAAUAAUUAGAAAAAGAAAAGGGCGCCACAAGAAAACAAAGCAGAAGAAAAGAAAAUGAAAUUGCAGUUUAACAUUGAUUUUCUCUUGGAUCUAAAUAAUUUAAUUUCAUCAUGAGAGAAGUCAGUUAUAUUCUAUUAAUAUAAUAUAUAAAGAUUUAUGAUAUAACUUAUGAAAUAAACCAUCCAAAGAAAGAAUAUCUACAUGAUAAUUAGAAUAACCAAAAAGAAAGAAAGAAAAAGAAAAUAAUAUAUAUACAUAGAGAAAAAAUUAAAAGG
rnacentral:lncRNA from 1 species